CCUCAGGAUCCCAUAAAUGGCGAGGGAAAGGUGUCCACUGGAAAGAGAGGCUUCCAAGAGCUGGCCACUGCUGGGGACUCAUACCAGGAAACCAAGACCUCCAAAGAUCCAAAUGCAGUGAUACUCAGCAAAACGUGAUGCAAGAGAAGCUCCGUUCUGAGAAGUCCCAGCGACACACUGGAGCAUCCUCUGGCUGUUGUGUCCAAUGAUCCCUGCAGUCGCUGCACUGAAGCCUGUGAUGUGUGUGUAUUACUUCUUCCAGGGACCAAUGACCCAGUGCUCCCAGAGCUGUGGAGUGUGACAAUGGUGUUUGUGUCCAAUCUAUCAAACGCCAUUAUCACACUAAAUAGCUACUGGUGGGCAAGGCAUCAGCUCAGGAAAAGUGUGUGAGCUCUGGCAAUACAUUUUCCCACCCUGCUGAGGAAUAAAUAACCUUUUUACACCCUUUUUAGAGAGGAUGACUCUGCUCUUCCUUUUAUAGCAACCCCACCAUAGUACUGGGAAACAUAUACUCUGCUACAGGCACUCCCAGAUUCCCAUGGUAAAGCACACGAGUCACCUUAAUGAACCAUCACUACAAUGUCCUGGUUAGGAAUGUGAAUUUCAGUGACUACCUCUGGAAAACAAGGCCAGCUUGGGACUUUCCUCUAGGAUUGACCAUGACAAUAGAAUUCUGAAGUCAGUAAGCUGAGGUAGUGAAACUCUGCCUCUUAUUUUGGCACCAAAUUAAAACAUAUGUUUGGAACAUUAA